rnacentral:rRNA from 1 species
UAGCCAGUUAGGGAAUCUUCGGCAAUGGGGGCAACCCUGACCGAGCAACGCCGCGUGAGUGAAGAAGGUUUUCGGAUCGUAAAGCUCUGUUGUAAGAGAAGAACGUGUGUGAGAGUGGAAAGUUCACACAGUGACGGUAACUUACCAGAAAGGGACGGCUAACUUACGUGCCAGCAGCCGCGGUAAUACGUAGGUCCCGAGCGUUGUCCGGAUUUAUUGGGCGUAAAGCGAGCGCAGGCGGUUUAAUAAGUCUGAAGUUAAAGGCAGUGGCUUAACCAUUGUUCGCUUUGGAAACUGUUAGACUUGAGUGCAGAAGGGGAGAGUGGAAUUCCAUGUGUAGCGGUG